CGCUGGCGGUAGGCCUAACACAUGCAAGUCGAACGGCAGCACAGUAAGAGCUUGCUCUUAUGGGUGGCGAGUGGCGGACGGGUGAGGAAUACAUCGGAAUCUACUUUUUCGUGGGGGAUAACGUAGGGAAACUUACGCUAAUACCGCAUACGACCUUCGGGUGAAAGCAGGGGACCUUCGGGCCUUGCGCGAUUGAAUGAGCCGAUGUCGGAUUAGCUAGUUGGCGGGGUAAAGGCCCACCAAGGCGACGAUCCGUAGCUGGUCUGAGAGGAUGAUCAGCCACACUGGAACUGAGACACGGUCCAGACUCCUACGGGAGGCAGCAGUGGGGAAUAUUGGACAAUGGGCGCAAGCCUGAUCCAGCCAUACCGCGUGGGUGAAGAAGGCCUUCGGGUUGUAAAGCCCUUUUGUUGGGAAAGAAAAGCAGCGGGCUAAUACCUUGCUGUUCUGACGGUACCCAAAGAAUAAGCACCGGCUAACUUCGUGCCAGCAGCCGCGGUAAUACGAAGGGUGCAAGCGUUACUCGGAAUUACUGGGCGUAAAGCGUGCGUAGGUGGUUGUUUAAGUCUGUUGUGAAAGCCCUGGGCUCAACCUGGGAACUGCAGUGGAAACUGGAUGACUAGAGUGUGGUAGAGGGUAGCGGAAUUCCCGGUGUAGCAGUGAAAUGCGUAGAGAUCGGGAGGAACAUCCAUGGCGAAGGCAGCUACCUGG
rnacentral:rRNA from 1 species